AAUCUUUCGUUUUGGAAACACAUGAUUUUGAAAGUCAUUAAAAGGGGUUCGACUCCCUUAAAGAUUU
rnacentral:tRNA from 1 species